AUUGAACGCUGGCGGCAUGCCUUACACAUGCAAGUCGAACGGCAGCACGGGAGCAAUCCUGGUGGCGAGUGGCGAACGGGUGAGUAAUAUAUCGGAACGUGCCCGGUCGUGGGGAUAACGUAGCGAAAGCUACGCUAAUACCGCAUACGAUCUACGGAUGAAAGCGGGGGAUCGCAAGACCUCGCGCGAUUGGAGCGGCCGAUAUCAGAUUAGGUAGUUGGUGAGGUAAAGGCUCACCAAGCCGACGAUCUGUAGCUGGUCUGAGAGGACGACCAGCCACACUGGGACUGAGACACGGCCCAGACUCCUACGGGAGCAGCAGUGGGGAAUUUUGGACAAUGGGCGCAAGCCUGAUCCAGCAAUGCCGCGUGCAGGAUGAA
rnacentral:rRNA from 1 species